rnacentral:lncRNA from 1 species
AUCUCGGUGAUAGACCCAGGAAGUCAGUGGCUGGGCGGGGCGGGCUGUGAGGACUGAGGUCUGUAGCGAAGGUCCAGCCCCGUGGUCUUCGCUUCGUUCGGCAACGAACGCCCAGCGAAGGGACAUCCCUGUAGAAGUUCUGCUGCGUGUGGUCCAGCCGUCCCCACUCCUCCCGGGAGAGGUACAAGGCCACAUCCUCGAAAGUCACUGGCAUCUGAAACAAUGUGAAACAUCCACUCUCCAGGACAUGACGUGGACACGGUGGAGGGACACCAUGGCAUGAGAUGUGUGGUGAGACCCCGGACUCCCAACCCACUGUGUCGAGUGAGGCCUGCCACUUCCAUCUGAUCGGGAAGCAGGUGAGCCACCCAAGGCCUUCUGGGGAGUUGAGAAAGAACAAAGACCAAGAGGUAUUUUCAGGGAUCACAGUUAAGACUUAGGAUGUCCAUGCAGCCCCCAGCCUCAGCUGAGACCUCGGAGGACGGUUCCCAACGGCUACCAGCGAGAGGCCCUGUGUCUCUAAUUCCUGCUGCUUCUCCUCCAGCUUUGGCCCAGGCCUGACCAUGGGCCUUGAGCCUGGACAAUUCCAGCAACACUAG